CACCGAGUUUAUUUGAUCUGGAUGUGACAAGUCUUGUUUUAAGGCCCAGUGGAUCAAUGAUUGGAAAGACACCAACUGUUGAUGUUCUAUCUCAACAUUCUCCAGAUUCAUGUGAGCGAUAAACCGACUUCAUCCCUCCAACAGACACCAACUGUUGGGGUUCUAUCUCAACAUUCUCCAGAUUCAGAUGUGAGCGAUAAACCGACUUCAUCCCUCCAACAGAAACCAACUGUUGAGGUUCCAUCUCAACAUUCUCCAGAUUCAGAUGUGAGCCAUUAACUGACUUCAUCCCUCCAACAGAAACCAACUGUUGAGGUUCUAUCUCAACAUUCUCUAGAUUCAAAUGACAGCCAUAAACCGACUUCAUCC